rnacentral:rRNA from 1 species
UACGUAGGGACCGAGCGUUGUCCGGAUUCAUUGGGCGUAAAGAGCUCGUAGGCGGCUGUUCAAGUCGAACGUGAAAACUCGGAGCUCAACUCCGAGCCUGCGUUCGAUACUGGACGGCUAGAGUCUGGUAGGGGGAUCUGGAAUUCCUGGUGUAGCGGUGGAAUGCGCAGAUAUCAGGAGGAACACCGGUGGCGAAGGUGGGAUCCUGGGCCAGUACUGACGCUGAGGAGCGAAAGCGUGGGGAGCAAACAGG